rnacentral:rRNA from 1 species
UUUAUGGAGAGUUUGAUCCUGGCUCAGGAUGAACGCUGGCGGCGUGCCUAAUACAUGCAAGUCGAGCGAACGGACGAGAAGCUUGCUUCUCUGAUGUUAGCGGCGGACGGGUGAGUAACACGUGGAUAACCUACCUAUAAGACUGGGAUAACUUCGGGAAACCGGAGCUAAUACCGGAUAAUAUUUUGAACCGCAUGAUUCAAAAGUGAAAG